rnacentral:lncRNA from 1 species
CUGCUUUCUUCCUGGUUCUGCCUGGGAACAAGAAGCAGGAAGCACCAUAAAUCUUGUGAAGAAGCCUUCUGGCAAGCUUCCUAGCCCGGCUCUGCUGAGUGCUGAGUUUUGGAUCAUUUGGAUAAACUUCGUGAUGAGGAAUGGCCAGUGCCUGGAUGUCCUGAUGUUGGGAAGAGCAGGACGUGGAGCUCGCACUAGUUUGGGUGGAACCAAAGUAUAACGAGGAAGCUUGAGCUGGCAAAGUUUCUUGCCCAAAUGCAUCAACAUGAAUUUCUGGGCAUCUGUGCUCAAUGUGAAGCACCUGCUCAUGUAAGAAAGCUGCAAACCCCAAUUUUCACUUUGACUGGGCAGCGUGGCUCUCCUUCAAUGACUGCAGACGGGACACCAGCUGUGAGCAAGGACAGGCAGGAAGGAAGCAAACUCUGGUGUCGGAUGGGGACACAGCCAGAGCCUCGGCCUUCUGCUGCCAUGCUGUGGAUUGAGCGUUUCAUUCACACAAAUGCACAUUUCCUGGCAGUGCUGGGGCUGGCCUGGAAUCCAGACCUGGUCUGCUCAAGGUAGAGCCAUUACCCUAAAGUGCUUUUAUUGAUCUGUUGACUUUCUGUCUCCCUCCUUCUCUUUCUCUCUUCACCCUGCCAGACUCCUAAAGACUCAUAUCUUGUCUCAUACAACCAAGAUAUUUUAAGGAGUAAACAAUGAUUUUGAAGUCAGAUUAGACAAACUGUACUUGACUAGUGUGAAACCAAAUAUCCUUUGAAUGAUGUCUGAAGUAGGACCUGGAUCCUUUUACAAGCAAUCCUUCUUCCCCUCCCCCCCCCCCCCCCUUAGCUCUUUCCCCUCUCUGCAUGUUCUGGUGAUCUUGAAAAAUUUGGAAAAAAAUCAGAGAUUAAUUUCAGGGUCAAGUACACAUAUUCUUUGUGGCAUCCCAUUCCCUGCUGUAGCAGUGCCAUAUUGUUGUACUUUACUUUUUGUUGGUUAAAGAAAGCUACAGUAAUAAAUCUAUAUACAUGCUUUGAAAUCUAGUGGUA